rnacentral:rRNA from 1 species
CGGUUCCGACGUUGAGGAUGAAAGGCCAGGGGAGCAAACCGGAUUAGAUACCCGGGUAGUCCUGGCUGUAAAGGAUGCGGGCUAGGUGUCGGGUGAGCUUCGAGCUCGCCCGGUUCUGUAGGGAAGCCGUUAAGCCCGCCGCAUGGGGAGUACGGCCGCAAGGCUGAAACUUAAAGGAAUUGGCGGGGGAGCACUACAAGGGGUGGAGCGUGCGGUUUAAUUGGAUUCAACGCCGGGAACCUCACCGGGGGCGACGGCAGGAUGAAGGCCAGGCUGAAGGUCUUGCCGGACACGCCGAGAGGAGGUGCAUGGCCGCCGUCAGCUCGUACCGUGAGGCGUCCACUUAAGUGUGGUAACGAGCGAGACCCGCGCCCCCAGUUGCCAGCCCUUCCCGUUGGGAAGGGGGCACUCUGGGGGGACUGCCGGCGAUAAGCCGGAGGAAGGAGCGGGCGACGGUAGGUCAGUAUGCCCCGAAACCCCCGGGCUACACGCGCGCUACAAUGGGCGGGACAAUGGGAUCCGACCCCGAAAGGGGAAGGGAAUCCCCUAAACCCGCCCCCAGUUCGGAUCGCGGGCUGCAACUCGCCCGCGUGAAGCUGGAAUCCCUAGUACCCGCGUGUCAUCAUCGCGCGGCGAAUACGUCCCUGCUCCUUGCACACACCGCCCGUCACUCCACCCGAGCGGGGUCUGGAUGAGGCUCCGUCCUCUGGGCGGGGUCGAGUCCAGGCUCCGUGAGGGGGGAGAAGUCGUAACAAGGUAACCGU